CACCGCGGUUAUACGGAGAGGCUCAAAUUAAUAUUCCACGGCGUAAAGCGUGAUUAGAGAAAAUGUAAACUAAAGCCGAACACCUCCCUAGCUGUUAUACGCCCAAAGAGGCACGAAGCCCCACAACGAAAGUAGCUUUAAUUUAACAUCUUGAAUUCACGAAAAUUAAGAAA
rnacentral:rRNA from 1 species